UAGGGGAAUUUUCGUCAAUGGGGGGCGAACCCUGAACGAGCAAUGCCGCGUGAGCGAAGAAGGUCUUCGGAUUGUAAAGCUCUGUUGGACCGGGGAAAAAGGAAGGAAAGAGGAAAUGUCUUUUUCUUUGGA
rnacentral:rRNA from 1 species